UCCUACUCUAAAAAUCACAGGCAAGACUCCUGUUGCACUGAGUUGGCAGAACUUGGGCACACAGCCACCGCAGGGGAGGUUAUGGGAAUCUGAGAAAUGGUCUUUAUUCUACUUGGCUAAACUACAUGUUAGGGGUUGAUUUUUAAAGAAAACACAGAAAAUGGGUACUGGAGUAAUAGUGCGUGAGUGCUCAUUCACGUCCAACUGUGUGCCCCCAUGGACUGUAGCCUGUCAGGCUCCUCUGUUCAUGGAAUUUUCCAGGCAAGAAUACUGGAGUGGGUUGCCAUUUCCUACUCCAGGGAAUCUUCCCGACCCAGGGAUCAAGGUCUUCUGCUUUGGCAGGUGGAUUCCCAGGUAGCACCACCUGGGAAGCCCACUCCCCCCCAAAUGCCAUACAUGUGGACAUCACAGGAUACCAUUAAGCAGAGAACAUAAAUUGAGUGUAAUUUUUUCAACAUUUUUUACAUUCAUUCAACCCAGAAAGCAUUCCCUGGUGCUUGCGUUUAUUUGAAAAUAGUCUACGUGCUGCAGAAUGCCGAGAUUCAGUCUCUGGGGAAGAAAUAAAACAGCUGCAGCAAAUAAAGCAGAUGGGAAUUAAGAAUGCUGGAGAGUCUCCAAAAUAUGAUCCCAUUGUCCAAACCAGUGCUGUGAUUCAUGACUGAGCUAUGCCAGGAAAAGUGAGGAAAUGACCCAAUAUUUAUUAGGACUCUUUUGGUUGCAAGUAAGAGAAACUCAUCAUAAACAAUUUUAAACAAAAAUGCAGGACUUCCUUGGUAGCACAGUGGAUGCGAAUCUGCCUGUCAAUGCUGGGGACACAGGUUUGAUCCCUGGUACGGGAAGAUGCCACAUGCCUCAGAGCAACUAAGCCACUAUGCCACACUAUUGAGGCUGAACUCUAGAGCCUGUGAGUCUCAACUACUGAACUGGCAUGCUGCAACUACCGAAACCGCUGUGCCUAGAGCCAGUGCUCUGCAACAAGAGGAACCGCCAUAACGAGAAGCCACCAUUACGAGACGCCAUCGUAAUGAGAAGCCCAUACGCCACAAGGAAGAGUAAUGCCCGCUCAGCGCGACUGGAGAAAGUCGACACAGCAAUGAAGACCCAACACAAUCGAAAACUAAAAACAAAUAAAUAAAUUAUUAAACAAAAACGUAAAUUUAUUGGCUUACAAAAUUUAGAAGUCCAGGAGUAGAUUGCCUUCAUUCAUAAGCUAGAUUCUUGGGCUCAAAUCAUUGGGACUCUGUUUCUCCUGUUUUCUGGACUCUAGUUUUCCCUGUUGUUUUUAUUACUCUCAGGGCCCCCUGGUGUGAUGGUAGAAAUGGGCAGACUCACUCUAGGCCCAUAUUUUAUCUGUUUAGCAGCUCCACUGUAAGGAGAGUGCCUGGUUCCCACAGAAAUCCAAGGCUGACUCUCCUUGCUCCUUCUUGGGACACAUGUCCACCCUUGGGCUGAUGAGCAUGACUCUGAUUGGCCAGGCCUAGGUUACAUGACCAACCCUGGAGUCCAUCAUACCCACACUCACUGAGAAGGGGAGCAAAAUUCCCUAGAAGAAAAUAGGACUACUGUUACCAAAAGAAGGGUGGGUUGACGGUGGUCAGGUGAAAACAACAGAUGUUUACAAGAGGCCUUAAUAUGCUGCCCCUGGGAAGACUAGGAUUAUGUUAGCCAC
ensembl:lncRNA